AUUGAACGCUGGCGGCAUGCUUUACACAUGCAAGUCGGACGGCAGCACAGAGAAGCUUGCUUCUUGGGUGGCGAGUGGCGAACGGGUGAGUAACAUAUCGGAACGUACCGAGCAGUGGGGGAUAACUAAUCGAAAGAUUAGCUAAUACCGCAUAUUUUCUGAGGAAGAAGGCAGGGGACCUUUGGGCCUUGCGCUGUUUGAGCGGCCGAUAUCUGAUUAGCUAGUUGGUGGGGUAAAGGCCUACCAAGGCGACGAUCAGUAGCGGGUCUGAGAGGAUGAUCCGCCACACUGGGACUGAGACACGGCCCAGACUCCUACGGGAGGCAGCAGUGGGGAAUUUUGGACAAUGGGCGCAAGCCUGAUCCAGCCAUGCCGCGUGUCUGAAGAAGGCCUUCGGGUUGUAAAGGACUUUUGUCAGGGAAGAAAAGGGCGGGGUUAAUACCCCUGUCUGAUGACGGUACCUGAAGAAUAAGCACCGGCUAACUACGUG
rnacentral:rRNA from 1 species